GUCUGUAACCUAAAUCCUGUCUAACGCAGCAUGACAGCCUGUCUAGAAACAAUUGAGAUCCUGUGCUAAUGAAGAGGACGUGGUUUCCUAUCCUUUGUAGACAAUGACAUCAUGAGAGUCAACACCCCUCAAGAUAAACUCUGAAGCAGAACUCUGAAACGCUCAGUAUUAAUCUGAACCCGUCACUCAGAGCUCAGGAUGUUCAGAGUCCAUGUGCUCAUUCUCAUUCACUCAUUGUUAGAGUACACAGAAGCAACUGUGGUCCACCAGGCUCAUUCUGCCUUGGUGUUUAGAGGAGAAACAGUUAAUUUACAAUGUGAACAAGAGGGCUCUGAUCAACGGAUGUCCUGGUACAGGCAAUAUCCCAAUGGGGGACUGGACCUGAUAUUCUUCUCUAAUAUUGAAGGCGCAGAAGUGGAAAGACUAUCAGUCCCUGAGAGAUUUUCAGCUACCAGACCCAACAGGCAGAGCUUCCCUCUGAAUAUCACAGAGCUGCACACAAACGACUCUGCUGUGUAUUACUGUGCUAGCAGCACACAGCAUGUGAGAGUCAUGUAACCUCAAUACAAAAACCUCAACACUAAAGGGUCUCUAUCCCACACACAGACACUAGGGGGCAGUGCUAUAUAAGAUACACAGUGAUGAUAUUACAACAAGUAAAACAGGGUCAUAAGGAUGGUUUGCUCUCAGUUGAAGCAGGUGUAGG